ensembl:lncRNA
CCCAUGCACUUUUGUAUCAACACAACACUCUGCAAGGGUUAAGCCAGGAGCCUCAGGAUGCUAAGGCUACACAUCGGCAUCUUCCCAGCCCUUUACAGGUCCAAAGCCUAAGUCUGUAAGCAGUGAGAAUAUGAUCACUACAUAUUUACAGCAAUGACUGAAGAUAAGUACAUUCUGUAAAGUGCUACUGAAACCUAUUUCCUUCAUUUCCUUGACAGCAAACGGAAGCAAUGAAGGCCUUAAAUCACAGAAAAUAUUUGUAAUAUGAAAGAUAAAUGGAGGUCACAUUCAUCUACUGCAGCAUGCAUAGAGGCCAAUAUUUUACAAGGUUCAGAUAGAGUUUAUGGGAAAUGAUCUCAAAGGCACUUCUCCUGGGCUGUGCCUUCUAGGCCCUACAAAGGUUUCCUCACAAGGAUGACACCGUCGUAUUACACUUCUGACAUGGAUUACUUCUGGAAGGAAUACAUAAUGCCAGGUUGCUGAAUGGUCUUCCUACAGCAAGUCACAACACUGUUUUUUAUCACAGUAGCGUAAGUCUUUGUGCAUUGAGUCCUACAUGUUUUGAGAAACAAGCCAUGAAAGGAAAGCCAGCCUACUAGCUGCAUGUGAGUUGUCACUCAAAUAAAAUUGGAAGAUAUACUAACUUUUGUUACUUUCCUUUCUACACUCCAUAAACACUCUAGCAAAAUAGCUUCUGGAACAUCACUUUGGAAACAGACAGCGUUAGAUGGAUAUCUGAAGGACUGUUAGGCAGCAAAUCUGAACUCUUUAUCUGGACCAGCCUCACUGGACCAAGCCAGUCCUCAUCCAGCCAGAAGAACAAAACGUAUGCAUCAUUAUCCAUAUCAACCGCUGCCCAGGCUAUCAAAAGCAAUGCAAAGCAUUUGAUUCCAAAACUGAAUGGCAAGAACAGUGAUGUGACACUUGCUUCCUCCACAGGCGGUAAUGGAAAAUCAGCAGCCUACAACAAAUUAAGAGAGAUUUCAGAACAAAAGCAUAUCUUUCUUGGAACAGAUAUUACUGAAAUUUCAUUUUGGGAAAAAUGCAGGAGGUUGUAACUUGAAUUAGUCCCACCAUUGGGCAUCUACAGUGGUGACUGUAAUCUUUAUCUUUUUUUGGCUGGACAAGCUGAGCUCCUGAUUUAUGUGUAUGUAUUCUAUUAUGUACAGCCAGCAUAACAUCCCCGUGAUACACCUGUGUACUUAAUAUGGCAGGGGAAAUGUAGGAUGAUCUCAGAAAGACACCAUAAGAAGUCAAAAACAAAAAACAAAAAACAAACAAAAAAAAAAAAACCUCUUGAUAUUUUCUGAAACUUGAAACAGAUGGCAAUACCCAAAUGAAAAAUGCAACAGCUUUCCCAGAAAGAUUGGCUGGCUGAAUCCAUCCUCUGCUCACUGGUUCUGCAUGAAUGUCCACCACAAUGUCCCAAGUGCUCCCCCUGGACCGAGGAGCACAAUCUCUGGGGUGACUGCCCCAGAUCAGGAGCACAACCCAAAGAUUUGCCCAGAAUAUCCAGACAGACAGAGCUUUUAUGAGUUUGUCUUGGCUGCAGCUGAAACCCAAUCUGCAGAAAAAAGCUUAGGUUUUACUUUUCACUUAAGAAGGGCCCUCAGGUAUUUUAAUACAUUUUGGCAUAUAUUUUUACUUGCUGUUGUUUAUAAUAAUCCUCUGGAAGCCUGAAACUGAAAUAUGUUUGAUAUCUGAUAUAUUUUUUUCUUUUAUUACUGACAAAUACUGAUUUAUUAUGGUAGAUCUGUACAGAGGACAGCUGUUUAGAAAACUGCAUUUUUUCUCAUACAAAAAUAUAUAUAUAUAAAAAUUACUUCUACUUCUUUUUAAAUUAUUUUUCACAUUUUUUAAACAGACACAUGCCUGGGCACCAAAAAUGCAGAAAAACAUGGUUUUGUGGGGGAGAGAUGUUUACUUUCUCUAAGUUAACAAAUAUUUUUCAGUUUCGUUGGAGAGACAUUUUCCCUGAGAAAUAUUUCAACAAAAUUUGUCAUUGUCAUCCCUAUAAAUACUACUUAUCUGUACUCUAUUCCUUUCACUUACUUGCAAAUGAACUUAAAAUACACAGUGGAUUUUGUAAAAAUGUAAAAAUAAACUACAGCCUGAAUCAGGCAAAAGUUCCUUAAAAAAUUUAGCCACACUAAUUAUCCUGUCAUGGAAUCCCAAAAGGUAGGUGAAGAUACUGAUUUAGUUUAAGUAACAGGCUGAGUUCCCUUGUAAUUUGACCAAAAAGAAGAUGGCAAAAAAAGGAGGAAAAAUUACCUGUUAAUAUGUCUUCAUUGUUUCAACUGAUAGAUUUCACAUGGCAAUGGCUGGUUCUGUCACACUUCCAAAGGUUCCUCUGAGCAACUGAUGCAUGAACACAGUAGACAAUUCAAGAUUUACACCACACUAGGGCUUUUUAGUUUCUUGGCUCACAUAUUUCUCUAAGCCAUGGAAGAGUGUACGAAAAAUGUUGAUUUCCUCUUAAAAACAAAAUUCUUUCCAUGGAGUUGUUCAUUGAUUUAUUCUUUUCAAGUAAAACUGGGAGUGGAAUUAUGCUGAGUUGAGAUUUUGGUACUGUUUGCUUUGAGGAGCACAGGUGCAAUUGGUCAUAAUUAUCCUCAGACACUACUCACUGUUUUUUCUCACUCAAGAAUGUAAAUCAGUUACUGCAGAGCAAGUCCAAACCAAUACUCUUAAUGUUAGUUACAAUAUCAGUAACUUCUGUAGAUGAAACAAUACAGCAUUUCUAUCAUAACCAAAAAAAAAAAAAAAAAGAAAUGGGCCAUGAAAGAGUUUUCAAAACCAAAACAUAAUCAUUCUUUCUCAAACAAAAGACUUGCAUUGUGUGUUACUUUAAUCAUUCUGAAGGGCUGUCAUUUGCACACGUUCACUUAAACCCAGUCACAAGACUCUAGAACAUGCAAUGUUUUUAAAGUAAUAGACAAAAAUCUUCCCACUAAAAUCCUGUCUUGGAAAAACUGUUCAUCAUGCUAACGUUCUGGAGGGCAUGUGACAUUAUUUAGAUUUUAUCAUCCAACGAUAUUUAUCCUGGAAAACAAGGAUCUCACUUUGCUGCUUGACAAGCUUCAAAGGAGAAAAGCACAGGUAGCAGGAUAUGUUUUUCCAAGUGGCAAAGCUGGGGACUUGCAAGAGUUGUGACAAGUUCAAGGAGUUCCUCAUGCUUUUUCUUAGUAUUUUGAUUUGACUGCAACCCAAAAAAAUCAGGAAGAAUUUCAGACACAAGAUGGCUGGAGGAGCCGAUAAUCAGAUGCUCGUUUUCCUCUCCAAGAUCAUACUGGCAUUCAGUAGCCUGAGAACCAAGAGGCUGCAUGAUUGGCUGUGAGCUGCUUUUGCAAAUAUUGCCUUCCCUUGAACCACAGAGGGUGCCAGGCGGGCACUCCCGAAGCUCUGACACUUAGAAGUUGAGUGAUCCAAAACAUACAACUGACAUAAGUGCUUCUGCACACUGAAAAUUCAGUUUCGGCAAAUAUUUACAUAUACGGUUUUCUCCACACGUACACAGGUGCCAGUAAAAUCUGAUGAGCAGGAUACCCC